AGGGAUUUAGCUCAGCGGUUUGAGCACCUGCUUGGCAAACAUGAGUUCAAUCCCUG
rnacentral:tRNA from 1 species